UACGAGGGGGGCGAGCGUGGUUCGGAUUUACUGGGCGUAAAGGGCGCGUAGGCGGCCCUCCUAGUCGCGUGUGAAAGCCCCGGGCUCAACCUGGAGAUGCCACUCGAGACUGCUAUGGCUAGAGUCCGGUAGGGGACCACGGAAUUCCUGGUGUAGCGGUGAAAUGCGCAGAUAUCAGGAGGAACACCGGUGGCGAAGGCGGUGGUCUGGGCCGGCACUGACGCUGAGGAGGGAAAGCGUGGGGAGCAAACAGG
rnacentral:rRNA from 1 species